rnacentral:rRNA from 1 species
AUUGAACGCUGGCGGCAGGCCUAACACAUGCAAGUCGAGCGGAUGACGGGAGCUUGCUCCUUGAUUCAGCGGCGGACGGGUGAGUAAUGCCUAGGAAUCUGCCUGGUAGUGGGGGACAACGUUUCGAAAGGAACGCUAAUACCGCAUACGUCCUACGGGAGAAAGCAGGGGACCUUCGGGCCUUGCGCUAUCAGAUGAGCCUAGGUCGGAUUAGCUAGUUGGUGGGGUAAUGGCUCACCAAGGCGACGAUCCGUAACUGGUCUGAGAGGAUGAUCAGUCACACUGGAACUGAGACACGGUCCAGACUCCUACGGGAGGCAGCAGUGGGGAAUGUUGGACAAUGGGCGAAAGCCUGAUCCAGCCAUGCCGCGUGUGUGAAGAAGGUCUUCGGAUUGUAAAGCACUUUAAGUUGGGAGGAAGGGCAGUAAGUUAAUACCUUGCUGUUUUGACGUUACCGGCAGAAUAAGCACCGGCUAACUCUGUGCCAGCCGCCGCUGUAA